UACGAAGGGUGCAAACGUUGCUCGGAAUUAUUGGGCGUAAAGCGCACGUAGGCGGCUUUGCAAGUCGGAUGUGAAAUCCCUCGGCUUAACCAAGGAAGUGCAUCCGAAACUGCAGAGCUUGAGUACGAAAGAGGAUCGCGGAAUUCCCGGUGUAGAGGUGAAAUUCGUAGAUAUCUGGAGGAACACCGGUGGCGAAGGCGGCAUCCUGGACCGACACUGACGCUGAGGAGCGAAAGCCAGGGGAGCAAACGGG
rnacentral:rRNA from 1 species